UACGUAGGGUCCGAGCGUUGUCCGGAAUUAUUGGGCGUAAAGGGCUCGUAGGCGGUUUGUCGCGUCGGGAGUGAAAACCAGGUGCUUAACACCUGGCCUGCUUUCGAUACGGGCAGACUAGAGGCAUUCAGGGGAGAACGGAAUUCCUGGUGUAGCGGUGAAAUGCGCAGAUAUCAGGAGGAACACCGGUGGCGAAGGCGGUUCUCUGGGAAUGUCCUGACGCUGAGGAGCGAAAGUGUGGGGAGCGAACAGG
rnacentral:rRNA from 1 species